UGGCAGGCUAGAGUCUUGUAGAGGGGGGUAGAAUUCCAGGUGUAGCGGUGAAAUGCGUAGAGAUCUGGAGGAAUACCGGUGGCGAAGGCGGCCCCCUGGACAAAGACUGACGCUCAGGUGCGAAAGCGUGGGGAGCAAACAGGAUUAGAUACCCUGGUAGUCCACGCCGUAAACGAUGUCGAUUUGGAGGUUGUGCCCUUGAGGCGUGGCUUCCGGAGCUAACGCGUUAAAUCGACCGCCUGGGGAGUACGGCCGCAAGGUUAAAACUCAAAUGAAUUGACGGGGGCCCGCACAAGCGGUGGAGCAUGUGGUUUAAUUCGAUGCAACGCGAAGAACCUUACCUGGUCUUGACAUCCACAGAACUUAGCAGAGAUGCUUUGGUGCCUUCGGGAACUGUGAGACAGGUGCUGCAUGGCUGUCGUCAGCUCGUGUUGUGAAAUGUUGGGUUAAGUCCCGCAACGAGCGCAACCC
rnacentral:rRNA from 1 species